UGCAAGUCGAGCGGCAUCGCGGGGGCAACCCUGGCGGCGAGCGGCGAACGGGUGAGUAACAUAUCGGAACGUACCCAGUAAUGGGGGAUAACUAACCGAAAGGUUAGCUAAUACCGCAUACGCCCUGAGGGGGAAAGUGGGGGAUCGCAAGACCUCACGUUAUUGGAGCGGCCGAUAUCGGAUUAGCUAGUUGGUGAGGUAAAGGCUCACCAAGGCGACGAUCCGUAGCGGGUCUGAGAGGACGGCCCGCCACACUGGAACUGAGACACGGUCCAGACUCCUACGGGAGGCAGCAGUGGGGAAUUUUGGACAAUGGGCGCAAGCCUGAUCCAGCCAUUCCGCGUGAGUGAAGAAGGCCUUCGGGUUGUAAAGCUCUUUCGGCAGGAACGAAACGGUCAUUCCUAAUACGAGUGGCUAAUGACGGUACCUGAAGAAGAAGCACCGGCUAACUACGUGCCAGCAGCCGCGGUAAUACGUAGGGUGCAAGCGUUAAUCGGAAUUACUGGGCGUAAAGCGUGCGCAGGCGGUUUUGUAAGACAGAUGUGAAAUCCCCGGGCUCAACCUGGGAACUGCGUUUGUGACUGCAAGACUUGAGUGUGGCAGAGGGGGGUGGAAUUCCACGUGUAGCAGUGAAAUGCGUAGAGAUGUGGAGGAACACCGAUGGCGA
rnacentral:rRNA from 1 species